AAAACUUUCAACAAUGGAUCCCUUGGUUCCGGCAUCGAUGAAGACCGCAGCU
rnacentral:rRNA from 1 species